CUACGGAGGGUGCGAGCGUUAAUCGGAAUUACUGGGCGUAAAGGGUGCGUAGGCGGCUUGAUAAGUCGGAUGUGAAAGCCCCGGGCUUAACCUGGGAAUUGCAUUCGAUACUGUCAGGCUAGAGUAUGUCAGAGGUUGGCGGAAUUCCUGGUGUAGCGGUGAAAUGCGUAGAUAUCAGGAGGAACACCAGUGGCGAAGGCGGCUAACUGGGACAAUACUGACGCUGAGGCACGAAAGCGUGCGGAGCAAACAGGAUUAGAAACCCCUGUAGUCC
rnacentral:rRNA from 1 species